AUUGAACGCUGGCGGCAGGCCUAACACAUGCAAGUCGAGCGGAUGAAGGGAGCUUGCUCCUGGAUUCAGCGGCGGACGGGUGAGUAAUGCCUAGGAAUCUGCCUGGUAGUGGGGGAUAACGUCCGGAAACGGGCGCUAAUACCGCAUACGUCCUGAGGGAGAAAGUGGGGGAUCUUCGGACCUCACGCUAUCAGAUGAGCCUAGGUCGGAUUAGCUAGUUGGUGGGGUAAAGGCCUACCAAGGCGACGAUCCGUAACUGGUCUGAGAGGAUGAUCAGUCACACUGGAACUGAGACACGGUACAGACUCCUACGGGAGGCAGCAGUGGGGAAUAUUGGACAAUGGGCGAAAGCCUGAUCCAGCCAUGCCGCGUGUGUGAAGAAGGUCUUCUGAUUGUAAAGCACUUUAAGUUGGGAGGAAGGGCAGUAAGUUAAUACCUUGCUGUUUUGACGUUACCAACAGAAUAAGCACCGGCUAACUUCGUG
rnacentral:rRNA from 1 species